UACGUAGGUGGCAAGCGUUACUCGGAAUCACUAGGCGUAAAGCGCAGGUGGGAGGUUUGGAAAGUCUGUUGUGAAAGCUCCCGGCUUAACUGGGAGAGGUCAACGGAAACUACCAGGCUAGAGUGUGGUAGAGGAAGAUGGAAUUCCCGGUGUAGAGGUGAAAUUCGUAGAUAUUCGCAAGAACACCAGUGGCGAAGGCGGCUCACUGGCCCGGUACUGACGCUGAGGUGCGAAAGCGUGGGGAGCAAACAGGG
rnacentral:rRNA from 1 species